CCUACGAUGGUCUCUAAUGUCGGUCACUCCCAAGUUUACCUCUUCGGCUUUUCCCCCCUUCUCAGCUCCGGAACUCAGACGGGGAAGAAGAUUAAAUUGGUUCCAGUUAUAGUUUCGAUAUCCGGAGCGUCAAUACAAUUCCAGAAACUUUCUCAUCAACCAAACAGGUUCCGAAUUUAAUUUCCGAUGAGAGGAUUGUGUUACCGAAUAAAUCGCUCUUGCACUCGACCGGAAAUGCGUGCAUUUCUCGAUAGCGAUUAGCGGGUUAGGGCCUUUGAGAGGUUAUGUGACGUCCGGUUGAAAUGGGAAGCAGCUCGUUUUGAAUUCAUACUUGUCGAAGUUCAAUUCCGUCCUCACAAACCCUAGGGUUGGUCACUUAUUUCAAAUUUUCAAUUUUAAGUUUUAAUAUAGAUUCUAAAGUAUCAAUUACAGUCUGUUGAUGUUCUUUGUCUUUUUCUUGGGGAAUAUGCUCCGCAACUCACUCGACCCAAUAGAAAUCAAUUCCUUUUUUAUCUUUUCAUCACAUUUUUCCGGUCCUCAUGAUCAGAAUCAGGUCAUAAGUUUCAACACUCUUGCAGCAGAUGAUGUACUGAUUUCUAAUAGAUACGUAGGUCGUCUUACGUUGCUACCUUUGGUGACCUGCCAUACGGCUACAAGAUUUUUUCAAUUUAUUGUAGCACAGUUGCACUAUGUAAAAGCCUGAAUGUCGAUGCCUUCAUACUUUCUUCCAUGUAAAAAGAAGUGUGUUAGUAAGUUUGGUGUUUGAAUUUCCAAUGAUGUACAUUUGGAGUCUAGGUUCUGCUUACUGAUUAAUAUUUAGUAAAUGCUUUCUUUUGGUCUGGCAUCUACUUGUCUCUCAUGUCGUCCUGCUAGGGUCUUGAAUAUUUAAAGAUUAUUUAUUUGGUGAAGAUGGAAACUUUAUGGUCUUGAAUCUC